UUGGCUGUGUUGCUAGUUUGGCUUCAGACGAUGCGAGUUUUAGUACUGGCUGAGCAACUGGAAUUUAUUACAAGUACAUAAAAAUUCCUAAUCUGAGCCCUGAGGAGUCAUGAACUUUACCGAUAAAUAUUACGAGCGGCCAUCUUCAAAUGAAGCGGCGUCGUGAUUGGUUC